UCGUGUUUGACCUAGUUGAAAACGAAGAGUUGUCACAUUUCGAGGCACGAGGUUUUGAGAUAGUCCAGUUCAAGUGCCAUAGUCCACAGUGUCUGUCACGUAACCGUAGGGCAUCUUGUCCUUCCAUUAUAAAGACACUUGAAUGUAUAUGUCACAGUCAAGAUGAAAAUCCAGGCAGUUUGUCAGUUUGCCUAAACAAGAUCCCAGAUAGCAAGAUGACG